AAUGGUGCUUGCUUAGGACGUUUACAACCAAUUCAUAUAAAAUUCGAAAUGUAUCCCUCAAAUUUGGUUCGUUUGAGCACCCCAUGGACUGGAAAACUACGUCGUGUUUACAAGGAUGGUCGAAUGAGUUGUCGCGGUCUACAGGCAGGAGAUAUUUUGCGGUAAUUAUAAGUGUUGCAGAGGAUUUCCCGUUGCUACUGGCAACGUGAAUUAGAACGUGGGUCCAACGAAUGUUCUCCAAUCACCAGACCGAUAUCUUUAGAGAUGACCGGAUCCGAUCCCGUCGGUAGAGAUUUAACAGAUUAAGUUAUUGGUUGAAAACGCGUGUGCACUUGAAGAGAAGAGCUGCACUGAAAAGACGCCACAGGGGCCUUCAUACUGUCUGGAGCAGUUGGCUGACCUGUCUCAUGAGGAUGAACAAGAGCAGAGGAUGCAUGGCCAGCGUAACAAAUAUGGAAAAGGAUUGGUAGACUCAUGAUGAAUGUUUGAUCUCUGAAGAAUGAGUCUGAGUAUCUGAGUGCAUGCCAGCAUGUCAUCGAGGAGGAGGAUCUGCUGGAUUCCAUCAAAGACCUGGUCCUUGGAAAAUGAGAGAACAUCUUCCUCCAACACUCCCAAAGAAAGAGGUGGGAGACUGGCCA